AGAAAACGGCUGUCUAUCAACCAGGAAGAGGCCCUCACCAGAAUCCGCCACACUGACACCCUGAUCUCAGGAUUCCAGCCUCCAGAACUGCGAGAAAUAAAUUUCUGUUGUUAAUAAGCCACCUAGUCUAUGACAUUCCAUUAUAGCCUCCCUGGCAGAUGAAGACGCUCAGUCUCCCAGUUUGUCAAACAAGGUCUGUACUAUCGGCUUGCUGGGGUAGUUAAGUCAGGAUUCACCAGCAAUGUGUCUGGCCUGGGUACCCCAUCAACCGUGAGUUCCUUCCCUCUUCUCUAGUGUUCAAGGCCCCUGUAUAGAAUAGAAUGCUCUCCUCCUUCUCAUUCAGAGGGUUUGGGAUAUGGGAAGGAUCCCUUACCUGAUGAUGACUUUAACCAACAAAAGCGAAGUCAUCAUUUUCAAAUUUUGGACCUCACUUUCAUUUUCUCUCUGGCAGGGUGAUUGACACCGUAUCACAUUUCCCCUGCAGCCAGAGCGCGCGUUCUAUUAUAUCAUCAAUUACAUACGGACACACAUCUGGGUUCUUGGGUUCUUGCAGCUGAGCGCUCAGCUAUCUGGGAGAAGAGGCCCCGUCCCGUCUCGGCUGCAGCAGAUGAAGACUGGACCAUAUGCCGAUCGCUUGGCUGGACCCGUGAAUCUGAGA
rnacentral:lncRNA from 1 species